AACGAACGCUGGCGGCAGGCUUAACACAUGCAAGUCGAGCGCCCCGCAAGGGGAGCGGCAGACGGGUGAGUAACGCGUGGGAAUCUACCCAUCUCUACGGAAUAACGCAUGGAAACGUGUGCUAAUACCGUAUACGUCCUUCGGGAGAAAGAUUUAUCGGAGAUGAAUGAGCCCGCGUUGGAUUAGCUAGUUGGUGGGGUAAAGGCCUACCAAGGCGACGAUCCAUAGCUGGUCUGAGAGGAUGAUCAGCCACACUGGGACUGAGACACGGCCCAGACUCCUACGGGAGGCAGGAGUGGGGAAUAUUGGACAAUGGGCGCAAGCCUGAUCCAGCCAUGCCGCGUGAGUGAUGAAGGCCCUAGGGUUGUAAAGCUCUUUCACCGGUGAAGAUAAUGACGGUAACCGGAGAAGAAGCCCCGGCUAACUUCGUGCCAGCCGCCGCCGCAGUAA
rnacentral:rRNA from 1 species